GAUGAACGCUGGCGGCGUGCCUAAUACAUGCAAGUCGAGCGAACAGACGAGGAGCUUGCUCCUCUGACGUUAGCGGCGGACGGGUGAGUAACACGUGGAUAACCUACCUAUAAGACUGGGAUAACUUCGGGAAACCGGAGCUAAUACCGGAUAACAUGCUGAACCGCAUGGUUCAACAGUGAAAGACGGUCUUGCUGUCACUUAUAGAUGGAUCUGCGCCGCAUUAGCUAGUUGGUAAGGUAACGGCUUUCCAAGGCAACGAUGCGUAGCCGACGUGAGAGGGUGGUAGCCCACCUGGGAGCUUGGCCGCGCUCCUGACUCCUACGGGAGGCCGCAGUAGCAAACGUGCCGCAAUGGGCGAGAGCAUUGCGGAAUAACGCCGCGUGAGUGAAGAAGGUCCUCGGAUCGUAAAGCUCUGUUAUUAGGGAAGAACAAAUGUGUAAGUAACUAUGCACGUAUUGACGGUACCUGAUCAGAAAGCCCCGGCUAACUACGUG
rnacentral:rRNA from 1 species